CUCGCUGCACAAUCGCUUCCUGCCCGCUCCUGCCCCAGCCCGCGCCGGCUCCGGGCAGCGGAGGCGAUGGCACAGCCGGGAAGGGGGGCCGCGGGGCGGAGACACUUCGUGUACAAAGCCACCGAUGGGUGUUAGAUUUGCCUUCCGUGACCUUACGAUCUCUCCGCGUAAAAUGCUAUUUUACAUCAAAGCAGUCCUUUACUUGAAGGUUUGGUAUAUGACAAACAGUCGACCAGUCUGGCAAGAGCACUUUGACAACUGGAAGCUUUCAGCGCAUGCUCUCCCAAAGAAUCAUGGGGUUUGAAGUCUUACCUACAGAGCAUUCCACUGCUGCUUCCCGAAAGGAAGAGAGCUCGAAAGGAAAAACAAAAAUAUGUGCACACUCCCUCUUCCUAGGGAAAACUGCUGCAAUCUGAAUCAUCAGCUCUGAGAAAAUAUCUGACAGACCGAGCUGAAAGUGACUAACUAAAUAUGAGCUUUUAAACAGUCUGAUUUAGAAGCCCAGAUCAAACAGCCACCUAUUCAGAACAACUGCUAGACAAAGAAAUAAUUCCAGUAUUUCCAAAUUUACCUUACAAACUCCUAGCAUAAAAAAUAAAUUAUAAGCUCAUACCAGCUAUAAAAUUUACAGCUAUUACAAAGGAAAUCGUGUCAUGUUGCUUAGCUGAAGAAUAUAUUAAAUAAUAAUGUCUCAUAAUAUAAUUUCUAAAUAUAUUCUGAAACACAAAUAGGUCAAGUAUGAAAAUUUAAAAACAAAUCAAAAUCAGUACACAGGUGAAAAGCUGUACUAUUUGAACAAUUUCCAAUUUUCAAAUUACAGCUUUUUCAUUACUGAGUUGCUACUACACUGAAAAGUCUACCAAAAAAAUAAUCUGCUCAGAAGAAAAUCAAGGUGUUAAUAUUACUAUUUAACAUUCCAUCUAUUCUGUACAUGGUGGUGCCACACUUCAUCUUCCUCCCUUUCACUACCCACCAUCUACAUAUCCCAGCCUCUACAUCAAUACACAGCUUGACAGGAGUUCUUCUCAUAAGAUAUUAAUAUUGUGAUCAUUAAUGUAGGUCAGGAAAAAUUUUCAGAAUUUCAUUCACUGGCACUUGGUGUUCUGUUUUUCACUAGUCCAUGAAUUAUUCUGCAUAUUUAUACUGGGUAAUUCAUAAUACUACUUAUUCAGACCAAAUAGUAAUGCUCAUAAGGAAAUACAGAGUUGAAAUCAGAAGUGUGAAAAUACCUAAAAGUGCAGGCUGAUUUUCCAAGGAUGAAAUAUGCAUAGCUUUGUGCAUGAAAGAGAAAUGACUAAAGCUGAGAAAGAUAAAUUAGGGCAGUUGAAAGUGAGUUGCUCUAACACUUAUGUCUCUGCUUUCUGCACCCUGUUUAUGUUGGACUGUAUGGUCUGCCUGCCCUACAUCAACACUGUAAUUAAGAGUUUCUCAACACUUGUUCUAACCUGUUUGUGCUACUCUGAAUCAUUAAAGGCAGCAAAACUGCUUUCUUAC